CCGCUAUAGACUGUGAAUCGAGCAACGAUUUUUAAAGCAAAUGUUUGUUCGCCUUUCUUUUCUUCUAUUCUGCAUUUUGCGGAAUCAAGCUGCAUGUUUGUGGAUAUCCUAGGAGAAAAAAAAAAAAAAAACCAAGCAAAAACACCUCGAAGAAGAUGAUCAGGAAGGGAGCGAGAGGGUUAGCAGAAUAAACACAUGUUAGAAGUAACAGAUUUAUUUCCGAACAGAGACUUGCUGCUUCGAUGAUUGCUAAAAUGUAGCGUCACCUACCUGGGUAAGUGGGAAAUAAACUUUAACUGUAAAGCUC